UUUAGUUGCCAAGUGUAACUCACAAAUACUGUAUGUUUUCCUGAAUACCCCUGGGCCUUCUGAAACCUGAAAAGAAGCAGAAAAACAGAUGCUUGGCAGGAACAGAUAAUGCUACUUUGUUAGGGCCAUCUUGGAUUUGGUGGAGACUAUGAAUUCAUGCCAUAUGUGAGCAGCUGGAAAGCUAUUCUUUGAGUCUAGAUCUUCACUUUGAUGAAAGCUUAGUAACAUUUGGCAAAAA